CCUACGGGUGGCAGCAGUGAGGAAUAUUGGUCAAUGGACGAGAGUCUGAACCAGCCAAGUAGCGUGAAGGAUGACUGCCCUAUGGGUUGUAAACUUCUUUUAUAUGGGAAUAAAAUGUUCCACGUGUGGGUUUUUGUAUGUACCAUAUGAAUAAGGAUCGGCUAAAUCCGUGCCAGCAGCCGCGGUAAUACGGAGGAUCCGAGCGUUAUCCGGAUUUAUUGGGUUUAAAGGGAGCGUAGGUGGAUUUUUAAGUGAGUUGUGGAAGUUUGCGACUCAACCGUAAAAUUGCAGUUGAAACUGGCAGUCUGGAGUACAGUAGAGGUGUGCGGAAUUCGUGGUGUAGCGGUGAAAUGCUGAGAUAUCACGAAGAACUACGAUUGCGAAGGCAGCUCACUGGACUGCAACUGACACUGAGGCUCGAAAGUGUGGGUAUCAAACAGGAUUAGAUACCCGUGUAGUC
rnacentral:rRNA from 1 species